UUUAUGGGGUGACUGCGUACCUUUUGUAUAAUGGGUCAGCGACUUAUAUUCUGUAGCAAGGUUAACCGAAUAGGGGAGCCGAAGGGAAACCGAGUCUUAACUGGGCGUUAAGUUGCAGGGUAUAGACCCGAAACCCGGUGAUCUAGCCAUGGGCAGGUUGAAGGUUGGGUAACACUAACUGGAGGACCGAACCGACUAAUGUUGAAAAAUUAGCGGAUGACUUGUGGCUGGGGGUGAAAGGCCAAUCAAACCGGGAGAUAGCUGGUUCUCCCCGAAAGCUAUUUAGGUAGCGCCUCGUGAAUUCAUCUCCGGGGGUAGAGCACUGUUUCGGCAAGGGGGUCAUCCCGACUUACCAACCCGAUGCAAACUGCGAAUACCGGAGAAUGUUAUCACGGGAGACACACGGCGGGUGCUAACGUCCGUCGUGAAGAGGGAAACAACCCAGACCGCCAGCUAAGGUCCCAAAGUCAUGGUUAAGUGGGAAACGAUGUGGGAAGGCCCAGACAGCCAGGAUGUUGGCUUAGAAGCAGCCAUCAUUUAAAGAAAGCGUAAUAGCUCACUGGUCGAGUCGGCCUGCGCGGAAGAUGUAACGGGGCUAAACCAUGCACCGAAGCUGCGGCAGCGAC
rnacentral:rRNA from 1 species